GCCCGCGCGGGGCCUGGCGCCGCCGGCGGCGGGAGGUGGAGGUUCUCUCACGGGUCCGCGCCCCGCGACCGUGAUGGCGGCGGCGGCGGCGGCGGCAACGACGACCGCGACCGGGGGAGGUGGGGAGCGGAGCAGCACCCGGGACCGGCUCCUGGCGGCGCUGGAGGAUCUCGAGCUCUUGGCCAGGGAACUAAUUGAAAUUUUGGCAAUUUCAAGAAACCAAAAGCUUCCACAACCAGGAGAGGAGAGCCAGAUCCUGGAACUGCUGAUACAGAGAGAUGGAGAGUUUCAAGAGCUAAUGAAGCUGGCAGUUGAUCAGGGGAAAAUCCAUCAUGAAAUGCAGCUUUUAGAAAAGGUAGUAGAAAAGAGGGAUAAUGAUAUUCAGCAGCUGCAGAAACAACUAAAAGAAGCAGAACACAUACUGGCAACAGCUGUUUAUCAAGCAAAGGAAAAACUGAAAUCAAUUGAAAAGGCAAGAAAAGGUGCCAUUUCCUCUGAAGAAAUAAUUAAAUAUGCCCAUAGGAUCAGUGCUAGCAAUGCUGUUUGUGCUCCUCUGACAUGGGUACCAGGGGACCCACGUAGGCCAUAUCCUACUGAUCUGGAAAUGAGGAGUGGUCUCUUGGGUCAGAUGAACAACCCAUCCACCAAUGGAGUUAAUGGACACUUACCAGGGGAUGCACUUGCAGCAGGCAGACUGCCAGAUGUGCUCGCUCCUCAGUACCCUUGGCAGUCAAGUGAUAUGUCAAUGAACAUGCUACCUCCUAAUCAUAGUAAUGACUUUAUGUUGGAGCCUCCAGGACACAAUAAAGAGAAUGAAGAUGAUGUAGAAGUUAUGUCAACAGACUCCUCCAGCAGCAGCAGUGACUCAGACUAGGUACAAGAGAGACAGUAUCUCCAGUAGACCUUUCCUGUGGUGAAGAUGUUCACGUAAAAUGACUGGGAGCUUUUCUGCUGGAGGAGAAAUUCCAGUGAUUAUGUAAAUGUGUGAAUGUGUAUGUUUACAAGAGACGUGCUGUAUAUAUAUAUAUAUACACUUACUAUACAUUAGAUGACAAAAGUUCCUGGGAAAAAAAGGUGUAAGGGGAAUCCCCUUGUAUGUUUGUUAGUAACUUCACUCUUUUGCUGAUAGCCUUUUCUCAGAAAUGAGGCAUGAAAUUUGUAAUUUUAAUAUCUUCUUUUGUUACUGCCUAAACACAUGUUCUUGAUCAUCUUCUGUAUGCCAAGAACAAAAAUAUGGCAAAAAGGUGUAAAAAAGAAAAAGUUUGUAAUUAUUGUAAUAUAUAAUGAAUGAUUUGUCAUAAAUAAACUCGGCUUUGAUGUAACUGU